CUUUUGGCGUGAAGGAUUUCAACAGGGACGCCAUCACAGGGACUUCUGAGGAUCCAUCACAAGAUGAGCUCCUUAAGAUCGGACAACAUGCAGGCUCUUCUACAAAUUUUUCUUUGCUUUGUGCUUCUAGCAACAGGCAGUUGUUUGCAAUGUGAAACCUGCCACAGCAACAAGACUUCCUGUACAGGUCCCAUGGAGAACUGCACUGAUGGAGACACCUGCGUCAUUGGGAUUGUGCAAUCUUCUCUGGGUUGGUGCAAGGACCUG